AUUGAACGCUGGCGGCAUGCCUUACACAUGCAAGUCGGACGGUAACAGGUCUUCGGAUGCUGACGAGUGGCGAACGGGUGAGUAUACAUCGGAACGUGCCCGAGAGUGGGGGAUAACGAAGCGAAAGCUUUGCCAAUACCGCAUACGAUCUCAGGAUGAAAGCGGGGGACCGCAAGGCCUUGCGCUCACGGAGCGGCCGAUGGCAGAUUAGGUAGUUGGUGGGAUAAAAGCUGACCAAGCCGACGAUCUGUAGCUGGUCUGAGAGGACGACCAGCCACACUGGGACUGAGACACGGCCCAGACUCCUACGGGAGGCAGCAGUGGGGAAUUUUGGACAAUGGGCGCAAGCCUGAUCCAGCCAUGCCGCGUGCAGGAUGAAGGCCUUCGGGUUGUAAACUGCUUUUGUACGGAACGAAAAGACUCUGGUUAAUACCUGGGGUCCAUGACGGUACCGUAAGAAUAAGCACCGGCUAACUACGUGCCAGCCGCCGCAGUAA
rnacentral:rRNA from 1 species